GGCGUGCUUAACACAUGCAAGUCGAACGGGAAUUACUUUAUUGAAACUUCGGUCGAUUUAAUUUAAUUCUAGUGGCGGACGGGUGAGUAACGCGUGGGUAACCUGCCUUGUACAGGGGGAUAACAGUCAGAAAUGACUGCUAAUACCGCAUAAGCGCACAGAGCUGCAUGGCUCAGUGUGAAAAACUCCGGUGGUAUAAGAUGGACCCGCGUUGGAUUAGCUAGUUGGUGGGGGUAACGGCCCACCAAGGCGACGAUCCAUAGCCGGCCUGAGAGGGUGAACGGCCACAUUGGGACUGAGACACGGCCCAGACUCCUACGGGAGGCAGCAGUGGGGAAUAUUGCACAAUGGGGGAAACCCUGAUGCAGCGACGCCGCGUGAAGGAAGAAGUAUCUCGGUAUGUAAACUUCUAUCAGCAGGGAAGAAAAUGACGGUACCUGACUAAGAAGCCCCCGCUAACUACGUGCCAGCAGCCGCGGUAAUACGUAGGGGGCAAGCGUUAUCCGGAUUUACUGGGUGUAAAGGGAGCGUAGACGGAUGGACAAGUCUGAUGUGAAAGGCUGGGGCUCAACCCCGGGACUGCAUUGGAAACUGCCCGUCUUGAGUGCCGGAGAGGUAAGCGGAAUUCCUAGUGUAGCGGUGAAAUGCGUAGAUAUUAGGAGGAACACCAGUGGCGAAGGCGGCUUACUGGACGGUAACUGACGUUGAGGCUCGAAAGCGUGGGGAGCAAACAGAAGUAGAUACCCUGGUAGUCCACGCGGUAAACGACAAUAAGAGGUUCGGGGGCAAAGUCAUUCGGUGCCCCCGCAGACGCAUUAAGCAUUCCACCCUGGGGAGUACGUUUGCAGGAAAGAAACUCAAAGGAAUUGACGGGGACCCGCACAAGCGGUGGAGCAUGUGGUUUAAUUGAAAGCAACGCGAAGAACCUUACCAAGUCUUGACAUCCCCCUGACCGGAACUUAACCGUUCCUUUCCUUCGGGACAGGGGAGACAGGUGGUGCAUGGUUGUCGUCAGCUCGUGUCGUGAGAUGUUGGGUUAAGUCCCGCAACGAGCGCAACCCCUAUCCUCAGUAGCCAGCAUAUAAGGUGGGCACUCUGGGGAGACUGCCAGGGAUAACCUGGAGGAAGGCGGGGAUGACGUCAAAUCAUCAUGCCCCUUAUGAUUUGGGCUACACACGUGCUACAAUGGCGUAAACAAAGGGAAGCGAACCUGCGAGGGUGGGCAAAUCCCAAAAAUAACGUCCCAGUUCGGACUGUAGUCUGCAACCCGACUACACGAAGCUGGAAUCGCUAGUAAUCGCGGAUCAGAAUGCCGCGGUGAAUACGUUCCCGGGUCUCGC
rnacentral:rRNA from 1 species